UAGUGCUCUUUGGCAAUACAAGUCCA
rnacentral:piRNA from 1 species